GACGAACGCUGGCGGCGUGCCUAAUACAUGCAAGUAGAACGCUGAAGGAGGAGCUUGCUUCUCUGGAUGAGUUGCGAACGGGUGAGUAACGCGUAGGUAACCUGCCUGGUAGCGGGGGAUAACUAUUGGAAACGAUAGCUAAUACCGCAUAAGAGUAGAUGUUGCAUGACAUUUGCUUAAAAGGUGCAAUUGCAUCACUACCAGAUGGACCUGCGUUGUAUUAGCUAGUUGGUGGGGUAACGGCUUACCAAGGCGACGAUACAUAGCCGACCUGAGAGGGUGAUCGGCCACACUGGGACUGAGACACGGCCCAGACUCCUACGGGAGGAAGCAGUAGGGAAUCUUCGGCAAUGGACGGAAGUCUGACCGAGCAACGCCGCGUGAGUGAAGAAGGUUGUCGGAUCGUAAAGCUCUGUUGUAAGAGAAGAACGAGUGUGAGAGUGGAAAGUUCACACUGUGACGGUAUCUGACCAGAAAGGGACGGCUAACUACGUG
rnacentral:rRNA from 1 species